CYRKRGAMCUUUCAGAGAUGGAUUGGUGCCUUCGGGAACUCUGAGACAGGUGCUGCAUGGCUGUCGUCAGCUGUGUGKGAAAUGUUGGGUUAAGUCCCGCAACGAGCGCAACCCUUAUCCUUUGUUGCCAGCGGUUAGGCCGGGAACUCAAAGGAGACUGCCAGUGAUAAACUGGAGGAAGGUGGGGAUGACGUCAAGUCAUCAUGGCCCUUACGAGUAGGGCUACACACGUGCUACAAUGGCGCAUACAAAGAGAAGCGACCUCGCGAGAGCAAGCGGACCUCAUAAAGUGCGUCGUAGUCCGGAUUGGAGUCUGCAACUCGACUCCAUGAAGUCGGAAUCGCUAGUAAUCGUAGAUCAGAAUGCUACGGUGAAUACGUUCCCGGGUCUUGUACACACCGAA
rnacentral:rRNA from 2 species